rnacentral:rRNA from 1 species
GAGUUUGAUCCUGGCUCAGGAUGAACGCUAGCGGCAGGCUUAACACAUGCAAGUCGAGGGGUAACGGGGAAGCUUGCUUCCGCCGACGACCGGCGCACGGGUGCGUAACGCGUAUACAAUCUACCUUAUACUGGGGUAUAGCCUUUAGAAAUGAAGAUUAACCCCCCAUAGUCUCUUAGAGUGGCAUCACUUCUAGAGUAAAGGUUACGGUAUAAGAUGAGUAUGCGUUCUAUUAGUUUGUUGGUGUGGUAACGGCACACCAAGACUACGAUAGAUAGGGGCCCUGAGAGGGGGAUCCCCCACACUGGUACUGAGACACGGACCAGACUCCUACGGGAGGCAGCAGUGAGGAAUAUUGGACAAUGGAGGCAACUCUGAUCCAGCCAUGCCGCGUGCAGGAAGACUGCCCUAUGGGUUGUAAACUGCUUUUAUACAGGAAGAAACACCUCUACGUGUAGAGGCUUGACGGUACUGUAAGAAUAAGGAUCGGCUAACUCCGUGCCAGCAGCCGCGGUAAUACGGAGGAUCCAAGCGUUAUCCGGAAUCAUUGGGUUUAAAGGGUCCGUAGGUGGAUAAUUAAGUCAGAGGUGAAAUCUUGCAGCUCAACUGUAAAAUUGCCUUUGAAACUGGUUAUCUUGAGUUAUUAUGAAGUAGUUAGAAUAUGUAGUGUAGCGGUGAAAUGCAUAGAUAUUACAUAGAAUACCAAUUGCGAAGGCAGAUUACUAAUAAUCAACUGACACUGAUGGACGAAAGCGUGGGUAGCGAACAGGAUUAGAUACCCUGGUAGUCCACGCCGUAAACG